UACGUAGGAUGCAAGCGUUGUCCGGAAUUAUUGGGCGUAAAGAGCGCGCAGGCGGUAUGACAAGUCAGAUGUGAAAGAGGCCGGCUUAACCGGCAAGGGUCAUUUGAAACUGUCAGACUAGAGUGCAGCAGAGGAUAGUGGAAUUCCCGGUGUAGUGGUGAAAUGCGUAGAUAUCAGGAGGAACACCGAUGGCGAAGGCAGGUCUCUGGGCCACUACUGACGCUGAGAAGCGAAAGCAUGGGGAGCGAACAGG
rnacentral:rRNA from 1 species